UGCAGGUCUUGGGUGAUGCACCCCAGAAUCGGGCUCCGCCUCUCUGGUUCUGGGUGCAUAACCCGAGAACCUCA
rfam:Myotis brandtii contig263817, whole genome shotgun sequence.